AUGUACAUUCCUAUAGCAUUAAUGCAUUGGAUCCCAUUAGAACUUCACAAUUAAGCGCACUUGGGCUAGAGAAGUACUAAGAUGGGUGAUCACCCGAGAAUUCCUAGUGUUUUACAUG
rnacentral:rRNA from 1 species